GUACCGAUGAAGAGUCUCAUACUAGGACGAAACAGUUGUCCAGUAC
rnacentral:hammerhead_ribozyme from 1 species